CUACGGGGGGCACCAGUGGGGAAUAUUGCACAAUGGAGGAAACUCUGAUGCAGCAACGCCGCGUGGAGGAUGACACUUUUCGGAGCGUAAACUCCUUUUAUAUAGGAAGAAGAUGACGGUACUAUAUGAAUAAGCGCCGGCUAACUCCGUGCCAGCAGCCGCGGUAAUACGGAGGGCGCAAGCGUUACUCGGAAUCACUGGGCGUAAAGAGCGUGUAGGCGGAUUAAAAAGUCAGAAGUGAAGUCCUAUAGCUUAACUAUAGAACUGCUUCUGAAACUCUUAAUCUAGAAUAUGGGAGAGGUAGAUGGAAUUUCUGGUGUAGGGGUAACAUCCGUAGAGAUCAGAAGGAAUACCGAUUGCGAAGGCGAUCUACUAGAACAUUAUUGACGCUGAGACGCGAAAGCGUGGGGAGCAAACAGGAUUAGAUACCCUAAUAGUC
rnacentral:rRNA from 1 species